AUGACUCCAAAGAACAGGAAUACUACACCAUUUUCUUCCUACUCCUGUUUAGAUUCUUUGUGAAAGACCGUAUUUUUGUUUCUUCCCAAAGCAAUACGUCUCUUGAGUCUGGUAAAUAUCUCUCCUGCAUUAGUCAAACCAGACCAAGUCAACCAACUUUAGCUGAUGUUGAAUGCUGUAAAAGCUUACAUGUAACCUGAAAAUAUGAAUUUUUGAAGUGUCAUAGUCAAAUUGAUAUCUACCUCGUUAUUUAAAUGCAGGUUUGUGAUAGUUUUCACCCUAGGCCUUCCUGGAGACCAGCUUGUUACCAGGAAGGAACUAGGAAGGUGACCCAGGAAGUAUUCCACGCUAUUCCUUUACGUAACCUGAGGUACAAAUAAGGCAUAGAUAAGAGAGCUUGCUCUCUUCCUUUCCAGUAAGGUUUGAGAACGGUGGGUCCCUGCCUCGGUCUUGCUUAUCUGGAGCUGAGGCCUGCAGUGACUGCUGAUGUCUGCCACGUGUGAGGGGAGGGUGCUGGGCCGUGUCCAACCAUCCUGCUUCUCUCAAGGGAAGUGAAGACGUACAUUAAUGAUCAGGAAGCUGACCAAUUUACUUCUCUGUGGAAGCUAUGAAAUGGACUUUAAAAGUCACAGCAUGAACCAUGGAUUUCAAAGUGGUCUGUACAAGCUGUAGGGGUCCACUUGUGCACAUCUUACAAUCGGACUCUAGCUCAAUGCAAUUCUCAGCAGUCUCUGUUGAACAAUAACUACAACACCCAACAAUGUGAGCUUUUGAACGUAACUUCUUGGCAACAUUCCACUUCAAACUGAGGAAAUGACUGAACCUCACUGGCAUGAUUUAUUUGUGCUGAACCCAAGGCAAACACUAGUUGACUAUUUAGGUCAUUGCUUUGUAAAAUAC